rnacentral:rRNA from 1 species
UACGAAGGGGGCUAGCGUUGUUCGGAAUUACUGGGCGUAAAGGGCGCGUAGGCGGUCUGAUAAGUUAGGUGUGAAAUUCCCGGGCUUAACCUGGGGGCUGCACUUAAUACUGUUGGGCUUGAAUUCGGGAGAGGAUAGUGGAAUUCCCAGUGUAGAGGUGAAAUUCGUAGAUAUUGGGAAGAACACCAGUGGCGAGGGCGACUAUCUGGACCGACAUUGACGCUGAGGCGCGAAAGCGUGGGGAGCAAACAGG